rnacentral:rRNA from 1 species
CCCUUAGAUGUCCUGGGCCGCACGCGCGCUACACUGAACGGAUCAGCGCGUUUUCCCUUCCCGAGAGGGACGGGUAACCUGCUGAACCCCGUUCGUGGUAGGGAUCGGGGCUUGCAAUUAUUCCCCGUGAACCAGGAAUGCCCAGUAAACGCAAGUCAUCAGCUUGCAUUGAUUACGUCCCUGCCCUUUGUACACACCGCCCGUCGCACCUACCGAUUGAAUGGUCCGGUGAAAUCUCGGGACGGCGGCUUGGUCGCUUGCGUCCGACUGCUGAAACUUGAUUAAACCAUAUCAUUUAGAGGAAGGUGAAGUCGUAACA